AUGCAUGGUGCCCGUGAGUGUGCAUGUUGUCAGGAGCCCCUGCCCUGUGUGGCUCUGGAUCUGACACAGGACAGCCUGGAGGAGGAGGCCCCCGGCGCCAACCUGUGGCCCACCACCGUCACCCUCCUCACUCUCUUCCUGCUGAGCCUGUUCUACAGCACAGCUCUCACCAUGACCAGCAUCCGGGGCCCACCUGGCAGCAAAGAGGGACCCCAGACUCAGAGAUGUCCUGGGCAGGAGGCGGCCGUGUGGUCAGAGCUCCAGGAACAAGCGCUCCUUGGCAUUGAGAGCCCUGGUGGCCAUGAGGACUGUGGACUGCUGCUCAUGGGGCCCGGAGUCGUCGGCUGCCUCAUCCGGGGCUUCUUCCCCCUGGGCCCUCUGAGUGUGAACUGGACCAUCAGUGGGGAGAACGUGAUCUUCCCUCCUGUCCCGUCUGCCCCCUCGAGCCUCUACACCACGAGCAGCCUGCUGAGCCUGACACCUGACCAGUGUCCUAUGUGUGUGGCCUGCCACGUGGAGCACAAUGACGUGGACAUAUAUCUGGUCCUGCCCUGCCCAGACACCCCCAACAAAUGCCCCCCCACCUCAUGUGGGGAGCCCAGCCUGUCCCUGCAGCGGCCAGACCUCGGGGACCUGCUCCUGAACUCAAACGCCAGCCUCACCUGCACCCUGAGAGGCCUGAAGGACCCCAAGGGCGCCGUCUUCACCUGGGAGCCCACAAACGGGAACAAACCCGUCCAGCAGAGUGCCCAGCGUGACCACUGCGGCUGCUACAGUGUGUCCAGCGUGCUGCCCGGCUGUGCGGAGCCCUGGAGUGCAGGGACAGAGUUCACCUGCACAGUCACCCACCCUGAGAUAGAGGGCGGCUCCCUGACAGCCACCAUCAGCAAAGACACAGGCGUCAUCACCCCGCCCCAGGUCCACCUGCUGCCGCCGCCGACUGAGGAACUGGCCCUCAACGCGCUGGUGACGCUGACCUGCCUGGUGCAGGGCUUCAGCCCCAAGGACGUGCUGGUGUCCUGGACACACAAUGACACCCCGGUGGUCCCCAAAGACAGCUACCUGGUGUGGAAGCCCCUGCCCGAGCCCGGCCAGCAACCCACCACCUACGCCGUCACCAGCCUGCUGCGCGUGUCGGCCGAGGACUGGAACCAGGGGGACAGCUUCUCCUGCGUGGUGGGCCAUGAGGGCCUGGCCGAGCACUUCACCCAGAAGACCAUCGACCGCCUGGCGGGUUGUCAGGAGCCCCUGCCCUGUGUGGCUCUGGAUCUGACACAGGACAGCCUGGAGGAGGAGGCCCCCGGCGACAGCCUGUGGCCCACCACCGUCACCCUCCUCACUCUCUUCCUGCUGAGCCUGUUCUACAGCACAGCUCUCACCAUGACCAGCAUCCGGGGCCCACCUGGCAGCAAAGAGGGACCUCAGUACUGA